CAAUUAAGCUGUUUUACCUAGGCGCUGUCAGUUUGCUUGUUGCGAGCAUCUUAAUGACCGCCUCUGCCUACAAAUGGAAAACGCCGGUUGGCCCUGAUAUUUUUUCGAUCCUGAUUUACCUGUUCGUGUUUAUUAUCGUCAUUCGAGUUUUGUUCCCUGAUAAUAACAAGAAAGGCGUCAAUUCAUAUCGGUAAACACUCAAGUUUUGGAGUGAAAGGCCAUUCACCAAUUUAGCUGAUGAUAUAAACUGUUUAUGAGGAAUGUAUCAAUAAAGCUAAAGCAGUAUACCGA